rfam:Plesiomonas shigelloides 302-73 genomic scaffold scaffold00012, whole genome shotgun sequence.
CGUGUGGUGUUUGGCUGGCAGUAGCUGAGACCAAAUAGCGACACGGCCUUUACUUGAGGU